CCGAUCUGCCAGCUUCUACUAUGUCUCCCACGAAUGUGAAGAAGUAAUGCAAUCUCUCUAGUAGUUCUAUCUUCAUCGUAUGCCAUGUUCUGAAAUCGUAUUUUGUUCCUCGACUUCCAUAUUAAAGCUACGACAUGUACAAAAGCAGCAGCAAUGAUAGCAUUUCUCCAUGCACGACUACGAGUUUUACUGCAUAUCCAUUCCAGUUCACUGU
rnacentral:lncRNA from 1 species